rnacentral:rRNA from 1 species
GACAAGGUUCCAGGCCCUACGGGGUGCAGCAGGCGCGAAACCUCCGCAAUGUGAGAAAUCGCGACGGGGGGAUCCCAAGUGCCAUUCUUAACGGGAUGGCUUUUCAUUAGUGUAAAGAGCUUUUGGAAUAAGAGCUGGGCAAGACCGGUGCCAGCCGCCGCGGUAACACCGGCAGCUCUAGUGGUAACAAUUUUUAUUGGGCCUAAAGCGUCCGUAGCCGGUUUAAUAAGUCUCUGGUGAAAUCCUGUAGCUUAACUGUGGGAAUUGCUGGAGAUACUAUUAGACUUGAGACCGGGAGAGGUUAGAGGUACUCCCAGGGUAGAGGUGAAAUUCUGUAAUCCUGGGAGGACCGCCUGUUGCGAAGGCGUCUAACUGGAACGGUUCUGACGGUGAGGGACGAAAGUUAGGGGCGCGAACCGGAUUAGAUACCCGGGUAGUCCUAACUGUAAACGAUGCGGACUUGGUGUUGGGGUGGCUUUGAGCUGUCCCAGUGCCGAAGGGAAGCUGUUAAGUCCGCCGCCUGGGAAGUACGGUCGCAAGACUGAAACUUAA